rnacentral:ncRNA from 1 species
GUAGCCUAGCCGCUUCGAGGUUCUGCGGCCCUGGCUGCAGCUAAGACGGGAAUACGGUUCAAGCCGUGGCUGCCCCCGCAACUGUAAGCGUUAACGGCAUCGGCCGUGCCACUGCCCCGGGCGGGAAGGCGUCGAUGCUGCCGGCAGGCGUGCCGGCACAGCGCGAGCCAGGAGACCUGCCUCGAACAGUUUCCGACU